rnacentral:tRNA from 1 species
GGGCGGGUAGCUCAGUGGGGAGAGCAUCGGCCUUACAAGCCGGGGGUCGCAGGUUCAACUCCUGUCCCGCCCACCA